AGAAAAUGUGUGCCAGACACAUUACUCAUAUAUCAAAAGGAAUAAAUAUAAUACACAGUUAAUAAUAAUAAUAAAAAGUGUUUUACAACAAGGUGUCCACAUUGAGUCUGUGGGUUGCCAUUGUAAAAAUCACUACAUCCAACAUCCACAGUAAGACAGGACUGGACCUGUAUUAAUGGUUACAGAAAUAAUAGAAUAUAAUAACAAUUGUUUGUUAUGAAGCUAUGGUAAUUUUUGCAUUUAUCUCUAUACUAAAUGUGUUCAGGUUACCGUUUUUCAUGAUUACCAGACUUGUAGAGAAAAGUUGUUUUUUUCUUACUGUGUAGUGAAGAGGCAUUCAUGGUUUUACAUGUGGCUACCAUGACCUAAAAAAUGUUUAGUACUAUGGAAUAUGGUGAGUUUUAAUGAGCAAAUAUAAAGAAAAGCAAAAGCUAUAAAGACCCAACUCGGAGAAGCUGUCAGAAUACUAAAUAUUUUCAUAUAUAUAUAUAUAUUUUUUUUUAAGACUUAACACAGAUGUUGUUUAAACAAAUUUAUAUUUCACCCAACUUAACUUGAGCGCUUUACUGCCAAAUAUCCAAUUUCAUAUAGAGAAAAAAUAAUUAAUAAAAAUUACCAUUGCUACUGUGGCAAAUUGUGUGGCACUGAAAUAUUCAGGGCAAGUGUAAUGUGACACACAGAGAGAAAACAAUAAAUGUACACAUUUCAAUAUUUUCAUACUCUUUUAGUACUGACUGUCAAAUUAAACUUAAAAUGCCUAAUAAAUAUAAUAACUAAUAAAAUAAACAAAUUUUAAAAUAUCUUCAACAUAUGGUGAAAAAAAACACCCAUUAAAUUUACAAAUAAACAGAGGUAGCAAACAAGUAACCUUUGACAUUAUGUCCUUGAGGUAACCCUCACCCUAAAAAAACAAACAAACAUCUGAUUUAAGCAAUAUUAAACCAUUAAACUGUAGCAAUAUUUAUAACAACUCUAAACAUGAACACAUUGUGUUUCUUGUAUUAAGCUCAGAAAAAUAAUAAAAUAAAUUUAAAAAAAUAUAUAUGAAUGAAUGUCACGUGACCGUAGGCUACAUAUAUGCGAUGGCCGUUGUAAUUUUUAUCAGAUGACCGUUGUGAUUUCCUCAGCCUACUGUACCCUCAACAUUUUUUGAUUAUUUUCCCCACAUUAAUAAUCUGUAAAUAGAACCAGUUGUAUAUAUUAAGUUCCUGUUCAUUCAUUACAUGUCUUUCUACUACUGUUGUUUUAAAAGUUAAUUAGUCGUCUUUAAGUUUGUUUGUAGUUUGUCGUCAGUUCGUCAAGUGGUUGAAAGUUAUCCAUUACCAUCCGUCAACCAACUAAAG